rnacentral:lncRNA from 1 species
ACCCCAAAUGCAAGUAGAGAAACGAACAACUUACAGAAAGGAAAGACGUCAUAGUUAUUAUGGAGUACCAGAUACAAAUCUUAUGCUUGUGAAUCAAGAUUUAGUUUCAAAACCCCAAACGCAAGUAAAGAAACAAGUAGCUUCUAGAGAGGAAAGACGCAAUACAUUUCCUCUUGAAAACGAGAGAAAUGAUACAGUAAGAGUUGAAACUCUACCUCCUGAGAAAAAAGCUUUAUUUUCAAGAAACCAAUCUCAAACUAAGAAACUUGGAGCUACCAGAAAGAAUCUUGAUACUCAGAAAGCAAAAGACAUACUAGAUGAAAAUCUUUUACCCGACGAUGAAGUUGAAUUGUCAAAAAGCCAAUCUCAAACUAAGACGCUUAGAGCUGUCAAAAUGGAAACCCUAAAUAUUAAAAAUGGAGCAGCUUCAGGACAUCCAAGUAGAGCACAAAAUCUUUCAGCAGUGAAUCCAUCAAUUACUGACCUAAUAUUUCAAUUAGGUUUGGACAAAGUGGUAGGUAAGUAGA